rnacentral:rRNA from 1 species
CCCUUAGAUGUUCUGGGCCGCACGCGCGCUACACUGAUGCAUUCAACGAGUUUCUUCCUGGUCCGAGAGGAAUGGGUAACCUUUUGAAAGUGCAUCGUGAUAGGGAUAGACUAUUGCAAUUAUUGGUCUUCAACGAGGAAUUCCUAGUAGACGUAGUUCAUCAGACUGCAUCGAUUACGUCCCUGCCCUUUGUACACACCGCCCGUCGCUCCUACCGAUUGAAUGCUCAGGUGAGCCAUUCGGACUUUCAUCAUGCUGGUUUCCAGUUUUGAUGAAGGAAAGUCUUGCGAACCUUAUAAUUUAGAGGAAGGAGAAGUCGUAACA